rnacentral:rRNA from 1 species
CCUACGGGACGCAGCAGUGGGGGAUAUUGCACAAUGGGCGCAAGCCUGAUGCAGCCAUGCCGCGUGUGUGAAGAAGGCCUUCGGGUUGUAAAGCACUCUCAGCGGGGAGGAAGGCGGUGAGGUUAAUAACCUCACCGAUUGACGUUACCCGCAGAAGAAGCACCGGCUAACUCCGUGCCAGCAGCCGCGGUAAUACGGAGGGUGCAAGCGUUAAUCGGAAUUACUGGGCGUAAAGCGCACGCAGGCGGUCUGUCAAGUCGGAUGUGAAAUCCCCGGGCUCAACCUGGGAACUGCAUUCGAAACUGGCAGGCCAGAGUCUUGUAGAGGGGGGUAGAAUUCCAGGUGUAGCGGUGAAAUGCGUAGAGAUCUGGAGGAAUACCGGUGGCGAAGGCGGCCCCCUGGACAAAGACUGGCGCUCAGGUGCGAAAGCGUGGGGAGCAAACAGGAUUAGAUACCCUUGUAGUC